UAAAAACGUGGUUUAGAGAGAGAAGCUCCCCCUUCUUUCUCACUGUAAUCAAAUUCCACCAUGCCAAUGAACAAUCCUUCCACUGGUACAACCCCAAAUCUCAUCCCUCUAGAACCUUCUGAUCCAAAUCCGCAGCAAAUGCCUUCUUUCAAAUCAAAAUUACUUGCCUCGGAAGUGGUAUCGGACUUACAAAUAGAGGAUUGCAUAGAACGAUAUGGUAGCAACAGACCCAAAGUUCCCAUCCACGAGGGAGUUGAAAUACUAAACAAUGGUAUAAAAUCAUCAACCUUUCCAAGGAAGAUACGGCUAGGCUUUGCUCUCCGUGGAAAAAUUCCUUGAUCAUUAAAUUGUUGGGUAAGAAAGUCACCCACCAAUAUCUUCAAGACAAAUUAGUAUCAUUAUGGAAGUUCCCUGAAACUUUUCCCCUGAUAGAUCUUGGAUUGGGAUUCUUCAUUGCUAAAUUUGCCCAGCCUCACAGUGUCUCCCAUGUUCUACAAAAUGACCCUUGGUUCAUCGGUGGUCGCUAUCUCUCUACAAAGAAUUGGUAAACUAAUUUUGUGCCACAAAAUGAUAGUCACCUAUUCAGCCAUCUGGGUACGCCUUCCUCAUUUACCAACCGAGUUCUAUGACGCCAUACUACUAAAAAAAAUUGGUAACGCCAUCGAUAAGUUGCUGAAAGUUGAUGCUUGCACAAGUGGAGCUCUACGUGGUCGAUAUGCUCGGCUAUGUGUAUAAAUUUCAAUGGAUGAGCCAUUCCUCAAUACGAUACAAAUCGGCAGCCAUACGCAAGAAAUUCUAUAUGAGGGAGAUGGUUACUUAUGUACAGGUUGUGGUCGUUUUGGCCACGUCCGUAAGGACUGCUCCUAUCAUCAACAACCCCCCAGCAGACCCAACUACGAUGGGCACCCGUGGUGUCUCUGAUACUCCUCUCCCACCACAACAAGAAUGGUAAAUAGUUAAGUUUCUGCCAAGGAGGAGAAACCAGGCACAAGGGAAAUCAACGAUGCCCGAUUUAAUGACACCCCCCAAUAAUCCCACUCAGAAUAAUAUAGUAAAGGUACAUUCUCAACCAGAUCCAGCUACAAGUACGCCUCCUCGUCCCUUUAAUUUUACUGGUAGUUUUGCUAAGAGCUCUGAGCCAGCCCCUUCUAAUCGCAAAGACUACUAUACCAUAUAUUCAUAAGGAUAGGAAAAGAUGCACUCGCCCUUCUAAUGGGGGACACUAUAAUAGAUUUAAUCUUUUAACGGCUGAUAAUAAUUUUUCUUUUUCUACUGUCCCACAAAUGAAAAAUGGUACUAAUAUAGACCCCUCUGUUGAUACACAGAAUGAACAGUCGGACCCUUAUUGGAAAAAACCUGCUACUUAUGGACUUACUAUGCAAAAUCCGUUUGUCUCUUCUGAUACACCCAUUAUUACUGACCCCUGUAGUUACGUGGAAAUUUCUCCAAAUAAUCUUACUAUAAAAUCCCCUAAAUUAUUUCCUGACCUCCCCUUUAGGGCUCCGCUGGCUCCCACUCCACUGUCCAUCUCUCUAUAUAAUGAUAAAACUCUCCACCUGGCAGAACACAUAGAAGCCACUGGUAACAUGCAAGAGACGCAAAAUCCCAUAUCAGAUAUCACUAUCAAUUCAAAUGAUUAUACUCCCACUGAAUCUCUUCUUGCAUUAAAUACUCAACCACCACAGAAAACUUUUAACCCUUCGACUUCUGAGAUAAAUAAGCUCCUAUCCUUCAAGAAUGAACAAAGUUCACCUUCUCCCCUUUCACCAACAAAUCAAGUUGUUCCCUUUAACUCGUUUGCACAGGCAAUCCCCAAUGGAUCCGCCACCCCAAAUUCCGCCGCAUGCAAUGAAUCAUCCACUAGUGUACUAUGCUACACCACCUGUCCAACCGCUUCAUCAACCGUUGACUGGGAUCGAGAAGGCAAUCCAAGGACAUGCAAUACUAGUAUCGAUGGAAAUCAAUGGUAUGGAAACUCUUGUAAUUCUUCAGAACCAGAAUUUCCUAGCCCAACUAAUCUCGGAGGGCAUAAAAAAGCGAUCGAAUAGAUUGUGAAUCAAAUGUGACUUUCCAACAUUAUGGAUCCCUUAGUGCAAUCUGUAGCCCCUCAGUUCAUCCAUACUCUGCAAUCCCUGUGGAAUCUACCACAUUUGCUGAAUCAGUUCCCCAACAUGAACGAGGUAACUCUAACCCUGUUCUUCACACCUCAGGAAAUAGUAAAUGCCAACCCACUCCUCUUUUCGUGGAACCCCAUCCCUGUCUACCGCGGCCAGUUUGUGAAUCUCCUCACUCCAAUUCCUCCAAGUUUAGGCGCACUAGGUGUCCAUCCAAAGAGGACAACUUCCUUCACGGAAAUUUCAAGUUUCAAAAAUGCAGAAAGCCGAGGACAAGACGUAUAUUCAUAUCUGUCCAGCGUCCCUUAUGCAGAGCUCCUUCGACCUCAGGCCGGCCAUCAAUAGUGCCUUAGCGAAGUACGCAGUUGUGAUGACUCCGACUCUUCGGUGUAGCCACUCCCCUUCUUCAGGCAAAAGCUCUCAACCUUCCCCUAACUAUUUCUCUCCAAUGAACUAGACUACUUGUUUUAUUGUUUGGAAUACCCACGACUUUAAUAAUGAAAACUUUAGGAAAAACUUCCAUGACUUUCUCAACUCCCAUAACCCAUGCUUUAUUUAUUUGUUGGAAACUAAGUUGUCCGACCACUUAGGCCUCAUGUUUUAGUUUGGAUUUGAUGAUUAUUUGGAGGUACCUGCUGUUGGCAGUUCAGGAGCUCUAGUUUUGAUUUGCAGUGUCACUUAGAAACGUCAAACUCCACAGGAGCUGCAUGUUAUGAUCAAGGUUAAUGCUGAAGAACAUGGGGAAUCCAGUGCUGCGACAUAACUUUCGGAAAGCCAACAAAGUAGCCGAAUGCUUAUCAAAACUAAGUGUUGAUUUACAUCAACUUUGAAAUAUAAUCUCUCUAUGCUCUCCCCCUUUUGCUGCUGCUGUCCAUCUCGCCAAUGAUGUUCAGGGUGUUGUCAGUUCUCGUCUAGUGUCCUGGUCUAUGUUUAAUAACCUAUUAACUGUAGGAAACCAGCCCGUGUCCUCAUAUGUAAAUAGUUCUAAUGCUAAGCCUACUAGUAUUACUAAUUUUGACUGCAAUUCUGCUAUGAUCUCUGGUUGUAUUCCAGCUACUGUGAGGGCCUCUAACAAGAGUUCCUUUUUGUUUUGGAAUGUCACUUAGUCUAUAUAUAUAAUAUGAAUCCUAUUUACCAAAAAAAAAAAAA